ensembl:lncRNA
GCGGGAGAAGUGCGUGAUAUCUCUCCCAAGUGAAAGCGAAAGUCUCCAGCUCCCCAUUUCGUGUAAGUGACUGUUACAAAUAAUUAACGUGUCCUGACCUGGGUGAGACGACACUCUACUGUCGACUGCAAAAAGUAGAAGAAUUAAGGGAAACAGCCAGACCUGUUGGUAUCGUCAGCUUUCCAGACACUGGGUGAGAGACCACGCUCUAAUGUCGACUGCAAAAGUUGAAGAAUUAAGGAGACUGGAGUUAAAGAAACAGUGAUCAAAUACCACCACACCAUGGAAAACGCCAUGUACGAUAUUACAGUGUCAGUGCUUCUUCUGCUUGGUAUUUGCCUCCCUGGCCUUGGUUGGAUUAUCACCCUGUCUCUCUGCCAUAAACGCUGGGAAAGAAAACAUGUCACGUUUAGUCUCGUGACCCUCCUUAUCACUCACACACUGCAGCUGAUCAUUUCCCCGUUUAUUGUGGAAACUGUGCUAACCGGGGUUCCCUGUUGGCAUGCUAGUUGGUGGUGUACUACAGUAUACAUAAUGUUCUCAGUGUCAAGAUUCUGCGGCCUGGUUUUACACCUGUGUGUUGCUCUGGAGAAGAUCUUGUCUCUGCGUCAUCGAGCGAUUAAAGGAUUGUUUUGGGAAGCGAGAGCAGCAAACAACAGGCGUAGAACUCAAUUCACCUAUCCUCAAUUGCUUUCAUUCUGUCACCUCGCCUUCUCAAACUGCAUUGGAGGAGGACCAUGGGGAGGGACCUCCAAUAAUGGAGGAUGAGAUGUGAUGUGAGGAAUCAAGGAAAGAUACAUUGUAAAAAAUCCCAGUACUGAAGGCUAUUUGAGGGCUAAUACUCAUAUGAAGGGGCGGCAGGUAGCCUAGUGGUUAGAGCGUUGGACUAGUAACCGGAAGGUUGCAAGUUCAAAACCCCCGAGCUGAUAAGGUACAAAUAUGUCGUUCUGCCCCUGAACAGGCAGUUAACCCACUGUUCCUAGGCCGUCAUUGAAAAUAAGAAUUUGUUCUUAACUGAUUUGCCUAGUUAAAUAAAGGUAAAAAUAAUUUAAAAAAAAAUAAAAUGAAGGAGUAGAGGCUGGUGGAAUGGAGCUAUAGGAGGACUGACUCAUUGUAAUGGCUGGAAUGGAAUAAAUGGAACUGAGGUUCCAUUUGGCUAACAUGUGGUUUCCAUAUGUGUGAUGUGUUUGAUACCGUUCUAUUAAUUCCCUUCCAGCCAUUACAAUGAGCCUGUCCUCCUAUAGCUCCUCCCACAAGCCUCUACUAGAGGGAUAAGGGGGAUGAAUGCACUGACUCUAAGUCACUCUGGAUAAGAGUGUCUGCUAAAUGACCAACAUGUAAAUAUAUGUAGAGUCUAGUUGCAACUAAAUAACAGAUGUACUUGUUUGUAAUCCUCCUUGGUAGGCCAAUGACUAGUUGCUUUGUAUCAUAAACAGUUAUCCUAUUCAUAUUUUGGGAAACUGUGAUGUUGUUCGUCCUUUCUUUAUUAUUCAUUUUUAUAUUAUAAUCACAUUCUAAUGUUCAACAUUACCAUAACCUCCCACAACAAUGACCAGAGUUCAUUCACUUAUUGUUUAUCAGUUACAUCUUUUAUUAAAUGAUUUGGAACAUUUUUAAUCAGUACAACAUUUCCAGUCAUAAUUAUAAUAAACAAUGAUGUAAUUAACAGGAUUUUUUGUUGUUGUUGUCUUGAUUAUAAACUUUAUAAUAUAUUUUCCUCAUGAACAUGUAAACAAUCAUUAAGUUUCCCCCACCACAUUGUGUCGUUGUUCAGGACCGAGAACAGUACCAGAGAGAGAGAGAAAGGGUUAGAUAUCCAUCCUUGUAGCAAUGGCUUCUAUGACAGCAUGGACAGCACCAUUUUGGGGAAUUGAUGGCUAUUAAUUAUAUAAAGUAAUAAACACAUGUUUAAUCAUAGCAACAAUGUUUGUGUUUAAUAUAUGUCUUUAUUUGUAAAUGUUACAUUUCAUAACUCUGGUCCAGGGUCACAUUCCCAGUCCAGAGCUCUGGUCCAGGGUCACAUUCCCAGUCCAUAGCUCUGGUCCAGGGUCACAUUCCCAGUCCAUAACUCUGGUCCAGGGUCACAUUCCCAGUCCAUAACUUUGGUCCAGGGUCACAUUCCCAGUCCAUAACUUUGGUCCAGGGUCACAUUCCCAGUCCAGAGCUUUGGUCCAGGGUCACAUUCCCAGUCCAUAACUUUGGUCCAGGGUCACAUUCCCAGUCCAGAGCUUUGGUCCAGGGUCACAUUCCCAGUCCAUAACUUUGGUCCAGGGUCACAUUCCCAGUCCAGAGCUUUGGUCCAGGGUCACAUUCCCAGUCCAUAACUUUGGUCCAGGGUCACAUUCCCAGUCCAGAGCUUUGGUCCAGGGUCACAUUCCCAGUCCAGAGCUCUGGUCCAGGGUCACAUUCCCAGUCCAUAACUCUGGUCCAGGGUCACAUUCCCAGUCCAUAACUCUGGUCCAGGGUCACAUUCCCAGUCCAUAACUCUGGUCCAGGGUCACAUUCCCAGUCCAGAGCUCUGGUCCAGGGUCACAUUCCCAGUCCAGAGCUCUGGUCCAGGGUCACAUUCCCAGUCCAGAGCUCUGGUCCAGGGUCACAUUCCCAGUCCAGAGCUCUGGUCCAGGGUCACAUUCCCAGUCCAGAGCUCUGGUCCAGGGUCACAUUCCCAGUCCAGAGCUCUGGUCCAGGGUCACAUUCCCAGUCCAGAGCUCUGGUCCAGGGUCACAUUCCCAGUCCAGAGCUCUGGUCCAGGGUCACAUUCCCAGUCCAGAGCUCUGGUCCAGGGUCACAUUCCCAGUCCAGAGCUCUGGUCCAGGGUCACAUUCCCAGUCCAGAGCUUGGUCCAGGGUCACAUUCCCAGUCCAGAGCUCUGGUCCAGGGUCACAUUCCCAGUCCAGAGCUCUGGUCCAGGGUCACAUUCCCAGUCCAGAGCUCUGGUCCAGGGUCACAUUCCCAGUCCAGAGCUCUGGUCCAGGGUCACAUUCCCAGUCCAGAGCUUUGGUCCAGGGUCACAUUCCCAGUCCAGAGCUCUGGUCCAGGGUCACAUUCCCAGUCCAGAGCUUUGGUCCAGGGUCACAUUCCCAGUCCAGAGCUCUGGUCCAGGGUCACAUUCCCAGUCCAGAGCUCUGGUCCAGGGUCACAUUCCCAGUCCAGAGCUCUGGUCCAGGGUCACAUUCCCAGUCCAGAGCUUUGGUCCAGGGUCACAUUCCCAGUCCAGAGCUCUGGUCCAGGGUCACAUUCCCAGUCCAGAGCUUUGGUCCAGG